GAUAACAAGUGACUAUAGGCAUA
rnacentral:siRNA from 1 species